rnacentral:piRNA from 1 species
UCCUAAGACCCUAGACAUACACACCCUGU